CCUACGGGAGGCAGCAGUGAGGAAUAUUGGUCAAUGGACGAGAGUCUGAACCAGCCAAGUAGCGUGAAGGAUGACUGCCCUAUGGGUUGUAAACUUCUUUUAUAUGGGAAUAAAACGUUCCACGUGUGGGAUUUUGUAUGUACCAUAUGAAUAAGGAUCGGCUAACUCCGUGCCAGCAGCCGCGGUAAUACGGAGGAUCCGAGCGUUAUCCGGAUUUAUUGGGUUUAAAGGGAGCGUAGGUGGAUUGUUAAGUCAGUUGUGAAAGUUUGCGGCUCAACCGUAAAAUUGCAGUUGAUACUGGCAGUCUAGAGUACAGUAGAGGUGGGCGGAAUUCGUGGUGUAGCGGUGAAAUGCUUAGAUAUGACGAAGAAUUCCGAUUGCGAAGGCAGUUCACUGGACUGCAACUGACACUGAGGCUCGAAAGUGUGGGUAUCAAACAGGAUUAGAGACCCUGGUAGUC
rnacentral:rRNA from 1 species